rnacentral:misc_RNA from 1 species
AACGCACCUUGCACCCUGGGGCAUUCCCCAGGGUAUGUCUGUCUGAGUGUCAUUUGAACUCUCAAAGUCCCUUUCUCUUAACCGAGUUUGGGUUCUUUGGAUCGUGGGCGUUUGCGGGCCUGGUCUCGCUCGCCUCAAAUUGAAUGUGGCGAUCUUCUCUGAAGCCUGUGUUGGGUUUGACCUGGAGUGAUAGAAGUCUUUCGAGAUCUCUGGGGACUGCCUUUUUGGCGACCUGCUAUGGUGGGAGUGAUUGCUUUGAUAGACUCAUCUGACGUUUUUGACCUCAGAUCAGGCAGGACUACCCGCUGAACUUAA